CAGACUAGGUUCGGUUAGCUAAAGUCUCCCCAGACUAGCUUCGGUUAGCUAAAGUCUCCCAGACUAGCUUCGGUUAGCUAAAGUCUCCCCAGACUAGGUUCGGUUAGCUAAAGUCUCCCCAGACUAGGUUCGGUUAGCUAAAGUCUCCCCAGACUAGCUUCGGUUAGCUAAAGUCUCCCCAGACUAGGUUCGGUUAGCUAAAGUCUCCCCAGACUAGGUUCGGUUAGCUAAAGUCUCCCCAGACUAGGUUCGGUUAGCUAAAGUCUCCCCAGACUAGGUUCGGUUAGCUAAAGUCUCCCCAGACUAGGUUCGGUUAGCUAAAGUCUCCCCAGACUAGGUUCGGUUAGCUAAAGUCUCCCCAGACUAGGUUC